rnacentral:rRNA from 1 species
AAUGAACGCUGGCGGCGUGGUUAAGACAUGCAAGUCGAACGGGUUUUCGGGUGUAGCAAUACAUCGGAAAGCCAGUGGCGAACGGGUGCGUAACACGUGAACAAUCUACCAUUUAGUGUGGAAUAGCUCGCCGAAAGGCGAAUUAAUACCACAUGUGGUUGCUUCUCGCAUGAGAAGCAUACUAAAGCCGGGGACCGCAAGGCCUGGCGCCAAAUGAGGAGUUCGCGGCCUAUCAGCUAGUUGGCGAGGUAACGGCUCACCAAGGCUAAG